UACGUAGGGUGCAAGCGUUGUCCGGAAUUAUUGGGCGUAAAGAGCUCGUAGGCGGUUAGUCACGUCGGCUGUGAAAACCUGGGGCUCAACCCCGGGCCUGCAGCCGAUACGGGCUGACUAGAAUUCGGUAGGGGAGACUGGAAUUCCUGGUGUAGCGGUGAAAUGCGCAGAUAUCAGGAGGAACACCGGUGGCGAAGGCGGGUCUCUGGGCCGAUAUUGACGCUGAGGAGCGAAAGCAUGGGGAGCGAACAGG
rnacentral:rRNA from 1 species